CCCCGCCGAGCCAACUGGGGGCUCGGGUACACUGACAGCGGCUUCUAGGGAAUGGAGGGGGGGCGGUGAGAGUGAUUAAGAUGGCGGAUGUGAGCGAGGCCGAGGGCGCGACCAGAGCGUGAGGCGCGCCCGAGGCGGGUGGGAGUCAGGAGGACCGGACGGGAAUCUUGGGACAAGCAAGAUUGCGACAUUCCCUCUCUAUUAGGGAUUGAGACAGCUGUCGCAAUCCUCCCCCACAAACAAAUGGCCCUGGAGAGCAAAUUACCUUUGAGGGCAUCACGUCACCAAAGACUGUCAUCCAGUGCAGAAAAGCAAGAACCGAUGGGGAUACAUAAAGAGAGAGAGAGCACAAGCAGGGGAAGCAGCAGGCAGAGG